AAACAAAAAAGUAUUACAAAAGACUUAAAGGGUACGUAUAAAAUACGUAUGCAAAAACGCUUGGCCCGGACGCGGCGACAAUUUUCAGUUUGAGCUUAGAUUGAAACGGCGCCUGUAGUCAAUUUUUCUAUCACUGCUGUUAGCCUGUCCUCUACCCACGGUACAAGACUUGCUUUUUUUUCUUUUCUGGGGAUUUUGGAGCUCAAUCAAAGCCUUAAUCAUGGUUUUCGUGUUCCUUAACAUCGUUGAAGACUAAGGUGCAAAGGAACAAAACGAAGAAUGCUGGACAACCCAUUGAAUACCGAUGCCUUAUUAGUGCAACUGAUUGAAAAAAAAAAAGAUAAUUUCUACUUCGAUAAACCAAUUGCGAUUUCCGUGGAAGGUAGUGCAUAUGGAUUGGAAACUCCGGUUGGAGCUGUGUAAUUCUGGUAUGAUGAAUAAUAUAGCAACCAUGAUUUGAUUGUAUAUAAUUUAUACCAAACACCACGUAUUAGCUUUUAUGUAAAAUGUUGAUUUGGUGUGACUCAGCUCUUCACUUUAUAUUUUUUUUAUCUUUAUAUGAAGUGAGAAACGUAAAUUUUAGCAGUA